rnacentral:rRNA from 1 species
CCUACGGGCGGCUGCAGUGGGGAAUAUUGGACAAUGGGCGAAAGCCUGAUCCAGCCAUGCCGCGUGUGUGAAGAAGGCCUUCGGGUUGUAAAGCACUUUCAGUGGGGAAGAAAGCCUUGGGGCUAAUACCCUCGAGGAAGGACAUCACCCACAGAAGAAGCACCGGCUAACUCCGUGCCAGCAGCCGCGGUAAUACGGAGGGUGUGAGCGUUAAUCGGAAUUACUGGGCGUAAAGCGCGCGUAGGCGGUCUGAUAAGCCGGUUGUGAAAGCCCCGGGCUCAACCUGGGAACGGCAUCCGGAACUGUCAGGCUAGAGUGCAGGAGAGGAAGGUAGAAUUCCCGGUGUAGCAGUGAAAUGCGUAGAGAUCGGGAGGAAUACCAGUGGCGAAGGCGGCCUUCUGGACUGACACUGACGCUGAGGUGCGAAAGCGUGGGUAGCAAACAGGAUUAGAUACCCGGGUAGUC